CCUACAGCUUAACUGUAGAAUUGCCAUUGAAACUGAAUUUCUUGAAUCUAAUUGAAGUAGGCGGAAUAUGACAUGUAGCGGUGAAAUGCUUAGAUAUGUCAUAGAACACCGAUAGCGAAGGCAGCUUACUAAGUUAGUAUUGACGCUAAUGCACGAAAGCGUGGGGAGCGAACAGGAUUAGAUACCCUGGUAGUCCACGCCGUAAACGAUGAUUACUCGCUAUUGGCGAUAUACUGUCAGUGGCUAAGCGAAAGUGAUAAGUAAUCCACCUGGGGAGUACGAUCGCAAGGUUGAAACUCAAAGGAAUUGACGGGGGCCCGCACAAGCGGUGGAGCAUGUGGUUUAAUUCGAUGAUACGCGAGGAACCUUACCAGGUCUUAAAUGCAUAACGAACAGUUGGGAAACCAACCUUUCUUCGGACGGAAUGCAAGGUGCUGCAUGGUUGUCGUCAGCUCGUGCCGUGAGGUGUCAGGUUAAGUCCUAUAACGAGCGCAACCCCUAUUCUUAGUUGCCAGCGGUUCGGCCGGGGACUCUAAGAAAACUGCCAGUGCAAGCUGUGAGGAAGGUGGGGAUGACGUCAAAUCAUCACGGCCCUUACGACCUGGGCCACACACGUGCUACAAUGGUAGGUACAAAGGGCAGCCACUUGGCGACAAGGAGCUAAUCUCUAAAACCUAUCUCAGUUCGGAUUGGAGUCUGAAACUCGACUCUAUGAAGCUGGAAUCGCUAGUAAUCGCGCAUCAGCCAUGGCGCGGUGAAUACGUUCCCGGGCCUUGUACACACCGCCCGUCAAGCCAUGGAAGCUGGGAGUACCUGAAGUCGGUAACCAUAUAGGAGCUGCCUAGGGUAAAACUAGUAACUGGGGCUAAGUCGUAACAAGGUAACCGUA
rnacentral:rRNA from 1 species